GCUGGGCGUGGUGGCGCAUGCCUGUAAUUCUAGAGGCUCUGGAGGCUGAGGCAGGAGGAUCUUGAGUUCAAAGCCAGCAACAGUGAGGUGCUAAGCAACUCAGUGAGACCCCGUCUCUA
rnacentral:sRNA from 1 species